rnacentral:rRNA from 1 species
UACGAAGGGGGCUAGCGUUGUUCGGAAUUACUGGGCGUAAAGGGCGCGUAGGCGGUGUGUCAAGUCAGGCGUGAAAGCCCCGGGCUCAACCUGGGAACCGCGCUUGAGACUGGCACGCUCGAGUUCGGAGAGGAUGGUGGAAUUCCCAGUGUAGAGGUGAAAUUCGUAGAUAUUGGGAAGAACACCGAUGGCGAAGGCAGCCAUCUGGACCGACACUGACGCUGAGGCGCGAAAGCGUGGGGAGCAAACAGG